UUCCUGCUAGGCUACAUACGUCUGCCAUUUCCUUGCUGGAGUGUGACGUGAUUUGUGUCAUGUGCAGGUGCACUGGAUCACGUACAAACCAAUAGGGGAUCGGAAUGUUUUUGAUGAUGUUUU